rnacentral:misc_RNA from 1 species
ACUCAGAUCAUUGUGGAGUCAUUCUGCUCAGUAAUAACUCAAUCAAAACACACUGAGCAUGGCUGGAGCUGCGUGCCACAAUAAAAAUCUCAACCGAUGGUAUCCCAGGGGCUCAAUGCAUCUGAGGUCAGGGGAUCUGGGUGGCCACCCAAACACCCCUAUGUCCACAGAGUGCUGCUGAAACUAUUCCCACACAAUUUAAUAACAAUGGAGUUGUGUAUUGCUUUUCUACAUCACUUGCUGGGUACUGCAGGGGACAACACACAUUCAUAUGAUAGACAAUUUUCAUGUCAUAUGUCUGUGGGAGACAAAGACACAUGUAUCAGGAGUCAUAUUUCAUACAGUUAAAGAACCCUCAUAUGAAAAUAGGCCUACCACUUGUCUUUAACAGUGUCCUGCUGCCAAGGGGGGAACUUUACCUGAUGUUGUUUUCAAUGUACUCUUACCCUGUCAUUGAUGUACACUAACAUGCAUUGCACCUCUUUAGGCCGGGUUCCAUUCCUCAAAAGUUCACUGGCCAUGUUCCCGUGCCCAUGCUCUGUGUACUGAGACAUGCAGCAAGCAGAGGUAUCUUUGUGCCAUUGCCACCCACAGGAAUUUGUACAAGACAGAGCAAGACAGUAAACUUGCAUUUUUUGAAAACUGAUUUGAUGCUGGUGCUAUCUCGGAAUGAUGACAAACUGUGGUGCCAAUAUACGCCUCCCGCAGAGCACGUCUACACAUGCAGUACCAGUUCCGUCAAUGGCCGCCUACAUGGAGCAGAGCUUCUUUCAACUUGCAGGGCUUCAGUGCAGAAUACACGACUUUUUUUGGCUCACACUGGAGUCUUGACAUAUCUUUAUUUUUUUGUGCUAGCAUGUUAGACACAUAACUGACAGGUCAGUGUUUUGUGAGUUAUUAUU